UCUAGACUGCUCGGAUUCAUAUAAAUAAGACGAUCGUUGGUGCAUUAAAUAUAUAAUUUGAUUAACCGUCUUAUCGUGCAGUUCACUUCAACUUUUAAUUCGUUUAAAGUAAAUUGUGCUUAAUCGCAAACAAAAUCAUCAUGUCGAAAUUGAUCUCAAUCAUCUUCUGCACCUUGUUCUUGGCCACUAUUGCUGUGCAAGUAUUCGGACAACACCAGGGUGGUGGACAACACUACGGUGGUGGACAACAACACCACGGAGGUGGUUCACAACAUCACGGUGGUGGACAACAACAUCAUGGAGGUGGACAACAUCACGGUGGUGGACAACAACACCACGGUUAAGAUUGUCAAAUUACCAAUUUUCAAUCCUCUCGUUUAGCUCUUUCUCACUGUGAAUAUUGAAUGAAUGUUUCGUCUUCAGCAUGCUGUGCAUUUUUUUGUAAAUUUUAUGUUAUUCUUUAAUAUGGUACCUAUUUUAUAUUUUUAUCAAUAAAUUAUUGUUGAUCAGCAUACAAUCUCGUAGAUUUUUUCAUUUCUUAUUACAUCAAGUCGUCAUCUACUCGUAGAAUAAGAUUUCAAACAAUUUGAGUUGGUAUAAUUACGAGAGUUCUACUGUCUGUAGAAUAAAUUGCAAUGCAAAGAGCAUAUCAGUCGGGUACAAAGUUUGGCUCCAUCCUCGAAUUUUGAAAUGUAUAGGUAUAAAAUACUCGUACGAAUAAGGAUGAUUUUACUUUCAUCUAGGUACGAAAAUCACCGCGUGUACUGUAAAAAUAUUCGAUAAAUUUCGAAAAAAAAAUUGGCACAAAAAAUCAGAAAAUCUUCAACAUAAAAAUUAAUUUUUAAAAACAAACUGAACUUGACUAAAAAUAUGGAGAAUUUCUAUGCAACAACUUACACAAGUUACGUGUUUCUCUUCUAAAUCUACCAAGUCACGUCUUACCUACCUUUUUGAAUUUUCCACACGUAGUACGAAAAUGAGUUUUUGAAAAAUUUCCAUUCAGAGGUUAACCGAAUGAAAGUGAAAGGUGAUGCACUGAUGCACGAUAGUUAUCGUAAUUAUUAUGAUGCAACAUUUACUCGUAGAUAUGCAAAGAAACUGCCAAUUUGCAAAAAUGAAAAAAAUAAGUGCGAAGUGCAAUUUUUUUGCACUAUGUACCCAGUUUCCUUAUCUAUCAUACGAGGUUGGGUAUUUUCUCAAAUUGUCUUGUGCGUCGUAGUAUAAUAUAUCAUCUACUGGAUCGUGGACCAGCAUUUAGUGCACAUUAAUUGAUAAACAGUUCUAUUUUGUGGUCAUCUCGACUUCAUCUUUGCUUUUUUAUAAUUUUUCACGUGUUUUUUUUAAAUUUGGAUUUGUAUAUAUUUUGAUAUUGCAUGUUUCGUAUAAAAUAAAUCGUUGAUCGACAUAACGUACUCUGGUAAUUUUUCCAUCAUUACGUUCUGAAAUUUUUCAGCCACGAAUGAGUCGACUCGAUCAUUUUUGCAAAGAUCAUCUUCUGCACCCUGUUCUUGACUACUAUUGCUGUACAAGUAUUCGGCGGUCUUGUUCGAACUCACUACUGCGGCUGCGGCGAUUAUAUAGUAGUCCCAGGACACAACCAACAUUACGUCGAACGUGGAACCCGCGGUCCAAAAUGCGCCUGCUGCGCGAAAACAGGACUACCUUCCUGCGAAGAAACAAUUGGAGCAUAAUACAAUAGUCUAGACGGAUAUUAAAUUCCAUACCCUUUCGUUUAGCUCUUCUUCACUGUGACUGAAUGAUUCAUCUUCAGCAUGGUGUGUAUUUUUUAUAAAUUUUAUACGUACCUACAACCUCUCGUAUUUUUCUUUUUAGAACAAGCUGUCAUCUGGUAAAAUUUUGGGAACCGUUUCUGCGAAAUAUAAUUUCGAGGCAUUCGAAAACAUUCUGAAAUUCAUCGAAGAAAUGAAUCUGUCAAACCAAAUCUAGGUGUAGAGGAGAAGGUACAAUUAUGGACCCAGGUACAAAUAUGGACCCCCCCAUGGUUUAGUGUACAACCACUAGCGCUACGGUCAUGUUGGGUACUAAAAAUUAUACUAGUAGUGUAGUAUCGAUGAUCCAUGUACUUAUUUCGGAUCCAUGCAAACUUGGGUGUCUCUCAUCAGCAAUUGUUUUUUAUUGCGCAUUAUUUUCUUGCCAAUGGAAAAUUUUACAAGUUUUUCAUUCGGUAAUUCAUCAACUUCAAAUAAAGUUUGGAAAAAAAAUUAUUAGCGAAGUAAGUAGCUUAGAAUGUGUACUUUCAAAAUAUACUUUCAUAUUUGUCUGUACUUCAACUGAUUUUCAUAAUUUUUUUCAUUUUUCAUAAACUGAGCCGAUUUUUUGCAUGGGUAUAAAUAUGGACCCCUAAAUUUUUUUACCUAAUUCUGAUUCAAUAUUUUUUAGAAUAUCGAGAAAAGUGUUAUUAACAAAGAAGACAAGUCCAAAGUGUCAAAAUGGAACCAUGAUUUUUUCAAUUUUCAUAAACUUGGCCAAUUUUUUGCAUGGGUAUAAAUAUGGACCCCUAAAUUUUUUUUCAACUAAUUUUGAUUCAAUGGUUUUUAGAAUACCGAGAAGAGUGUUAUUAAUAAAGAAGACAAGUCCAAAGCAUCGAAAAACAUCUUUAAAUAAAUUUUUGUUCAAUUUUCUGAACUUUUUAUUCAUUUUUUGAGGGGGGUUCAUAUUUGUACCCGAGUCCAUAUUUGUACCAUUUUUUGUCACUUUUCUAAAUUUCAAAUUUCUCCGUGAGUUUUCAACCAAAAAAAUAAAUUUUUUUACACAAUAUACUAGAGUCUUUGGCCUUUCGAAUGGUAUACUCGAAAACAAAUUUUGAUAAUUUUUUCUACCCUUUAAACCCAAAAAGCUAGAGGGGGUCCAUAUUUGUACCUUCUCCUCUACCCUUGGAAAUUGAGUGUAAAAAUCCUGGCAAUUAUACACGCCCAGUAUUUAAAAAAAUGUAAAAAAACCUUAUAUGUAAUUUUAAAAAUGAAACUUAAGAUCUAAAAAAUGUUUCUCACGUGUAUAAGAAACCAGGUAAUUUGGUCGCGAUCCCGUCAACUGUGGCAGUUUGAAAUUUUCUUUUGGAUUUUUGAAUUUUUUGGCUAGAAAACAUUGCAAAAAAAUUGGAAAAAUAUUUUUGAUUAACGUGGUGAAGAAUAGUCGGGGGGCCUCAUAAGGAUCAAUUGCACCCCCCUGCCGAUCCUUCGGGACAACUUUUUUCUUAAAGUGGGAGUCCUAAGGAACAUUUCUAGCCCUUGUCCUCAAAAAAAAACAUGGUCCUACUCACAAAAUGGCGACUAUUUUGAUUACCGACCAUUCGAAAUCGCAGAUUUUGCGUUCCAACAUAGGACUUGCACGAAAUUUUUUAAAUCGUACAAACGUAGAUCGAAAGAGCAGGCAAAAAUUCAUCACCCAUCAAAAUUUCAAGCGGUAAAGUGCCUUUUUCGAUUUUUGGUGAAUUUUUGAAAAUCAAAUUUAGGCCAAAAAUGGGGGGAAAAAUCAAAAUUUUACCAAAUUGACCAAGAAAGCUGAAAUUUGGGAUACACCCUAUUUUUGACCUGUCAAAUCGAUUGUAAACUGAUUCAGGCCGUUUAGAGUAGCUCUGGAGCCUCCAGCAGAUUUUUGAAACUUGAAAUUCCCACAAAAUUUCAUCAAAUGGAGUUAGAAAGAUGAAAUUCAUUCUGCAAACUGAUUUCAAUUGCUACGAAGUCACCUGCUGGUGAAUUUCAAUUCGUUUUGGAGUCUCCAGCGACUUUUUGAAAAUUACUGGAGCCUCCAGUAGAUUUCUGAAACUUGGUGAAAAUUUCAUCAAAUGGACAUCAAAGCGGAAAUUUACUCUGCACUCCGAAGAUGACUUCAGGUGAGUUCAAGUCAUGUUGGAGCCUCCAGCGACUUUCUGAAAAUUCUUGGAGUCUCCAGAAGAUUUUUAAGACUUGGAAAUUUCAUCAAAAUUUCAUUCACCAAGUUUCAAGUGCCCCUCACGCUUUUGGUGACCCAAAUCCGCCCUCCCUCAUUUAAAGCUAACGUUUAUUCUGCGUCUUAUCAGACUGAGAAAAUUAAGGACUUUCUGCCUCCUCCUCUUCUCACCCAAAUUGUGCAAGUGAUGAAAAAUCAAUUCUCUUCGGUUUUGCUAUCGAUAAAAAUUAUAAAAUGAAUUUUCCGUCCAAGAAGUCCUCAGAAUCCAUUUUUUAUAACAACUUCUCGACUUACAGGGUAGACCAGAUUAUUUUCGUACAAUUAGAGAUCACUUGGUGAAAAUUCCAUCGAAGAUCGGUGACAUUUUGUUGAUUUUGAAAUGUGUAACAUACUCGUACACACAAGAAUGAUUUUAAUUUAUUCUACGAAAAUCACCAAAAUAUAUACCUACUAUUGUAAAAAUAUUAAAUAGAUUCAAAGAAAAAUUUGACAUACAUAGAAAAAGAGAAAAUAUCGAACAUAACAAUGGAUUUUCAAAAACAUGGGUGAAGUGAAUAGUAUGAAUUUGACUAAAAAUAUGGAGAAUUUCUACGCAACAACUUACACAAGUCACAUGUUUCUCUUCCACAUAAAUUCAACCAAGUCUACCAAAUCACGUCUUGAUUUUUUGAAUUUGCCACUACGUACUACGAACAUAAGGUUUUGAAAAAAUUUCAUCCGGAGGUAAAACCCAACGAAAGUGAAAGAUGUGCGAUAAGGUAGUUAAUUCUGAUGCAACAUAUUUUACAUAUGCGAAGAAACUGCCAAUUUGUAAAAAUGAAAAAGAAAUUACGAAGUGUAUUUUUUUUUUGCAUAGUCCUACCCAGUUUCCUUAUCUACAUAUCAUACGAGGCAGGGUAUUCUCUCACAUCGUCUUUGUGCGUCAUCGGCGUCUUUCUUUCACUUUGAUGGUGGAACUGGGAAACACGUUCCGAGUCUAUGACGACAAUACAACAAUAUAUUUGGAGUAGUAUAAAUAGGAUCUUGGACUAGCAUUUGGUACACAUUUUUCGAUCAACAGUUCUACUGUGCGUUCAUCUCGACUUUGUCUUUGCUUUUAUAAUUUUUCACGUGUUUUUCUCAACGUAAAAUACAAAACUACCUGCAACAUUAUGUCGAAAUUUAUCUCGAUCGUAUUCUGCAUGCUAGUCGUCGCCACCAUCGCUCUUCAAGUAUUCGGUGUGCCCGAACCCCAGCACCAUCAUGGCGGUGGCAAUAACCACUAUAACGGAGGUAACCACAAUAACCAUAACCAAGGUGGACAUUAUAACCAUAGACCACCGCAUUAUGGACAACAUGGACAACAGGGACACCACGGUUAAUAAUAAUUUGAACGUGUUGCCAAAAAUCAAACCCUCGCCUCGUUACCUGACUUUUUUUCCUAUAUUCGAACUGAUUACCUAUUCUUUUAUCAGCAGCAGCAAAUUAAAUUCAUACUACAAACUUUAAUUUAUUAUUACCUAUUUUUUUUUUAUAUAGGUAAUGCAAAUGUAAUAAUUUAUUCUGUUAAUAAAUUUGUGGAUCAACGAAAUACAAUUUUUUUACUGUAACCUCCAAGUACCUACAUGAUUCAUAAAAUACGAGUAUGUUAAUGAGAAAGCAGUAUGACUGUUUGAAGGCGCAUAUCAUAUGGUAUAGCUGUAAAAAAAACUUUGUUAUGCUCACUCGUUCGCCUUCUGUGAACACUCAAAGGUAUUUAACGAGUAUUUUUUUGAAAAGUCAUUAGGUACUUUUGCACAAAAUUUUCAAGAACCUCAACUCGACUUUUUUCUCUCCUCCUCUCCAAAAAAUUGCCUUGCAGAAACAAUAAUUUCAAAUCUAAAGAAAAUUUGUAACCUACUUGAGGAAUAGGUAGGUAGCUUUUUUUUUAAUGUACGAUUUUUAAAUUUUUUUCAAUAGUGUUUCGUACAUCUUCAAGUUUUAUCAUUUUUUUCGCUACUUUUCCUUGAAAUGUUGACUGAAUUCACUGCUUUUUCACUAUAACUUUCACUAUCUAUUGGUAAGUUAACUAGAUGACAAUUUUCUGGUCGAGAAUGGUCUUGAAAAAAAAACACGAAAAUCGAGUGAAGAUGUUAAAUUUUUCAAUUUUUAGCUGGAAAUACUGGUUUGGAGAUGAUUUUUGGAAAGAAAUGGAGAGAAUUUUAAAACAGAUGAACAAUUUUGAUUUUUUUUAUGAAAUAUGGAAUUGUGAAUGAAAAAUUUUUAAAGAUAAUUUAAAGAUUUUUUCAAAAUCGUUUCAGGGUUUACCUCAGCAGUCAGCACAAAUUAAUUCUGGAAGCCAUAGCUCCUUCGAAUUUCGAUAUAGGCAACAUAUUUGCUACCAACAGCAAGCAAAAGAAUAACAGGAAACUGGUUAUUUAAAACGAUCAACGGAUCAAAAUAUUAUUAAAAAAUCUAUCAUCUUCCGUAUAGGUAGAUGAAUAGGUACAUUAAAUAUGUACUUUCAUAUCGAUUGUUUUUAAAAAACGGAAAUUUUCAUUCAUUCUAAAAUAACAUAAGUAUUAAUCCAUUCGACCUUUCACUUCCCACAUCGUCUUUUUAUUUUUCAACGUAAAUAAUUAUUUCAUUACCAUCGAAGACGACAUGAUCCAUCUAUGAUGGCCGAUGACACUGAGGGAUCCUUAUUGCAUUCGUAUAAAUAGCACCAUCGAGUAAUACCUCAAAUGCAUAGGUACUUUACUCGACUGUUUUAUGAAGUGAUUUUUAUCUUCACAUUCGGUUAUUUUUUCUUUUGUGUAAAACAAGUAGAAUCAAUCAGUCAAUCAGUCAAUCAACUCAUCAUGUCGAAACUCAUCUCGAUUAUAUUCUGCACUCUAUUCAUCGCCACCAUUGCCCUGCAAGUAUUCGGUGUUCCUGAACCUCACGAUAACCACUACCAUCCGUACGUAGGUCACUCCAUAAGUGCUUAUCGUGGAGGAUUUUACCGUCGUCGAUUUCCAUAUUAUUACGGACGCCACAGACAUCAUCAUCAUGACCACUAUUAAGUAAUAUGUUGACCAAAAAUCGGAAAUGUCUUUUCGGCUCCUGGCUUUUUUCCUGCAUUUGAACUGAUUUACUUACCUACCUAACUGAUCAUUCAGUGUUAUUCUGUAAAAACUAUACAGGCCUUAGUUUAUAACUUUUUUUUGUUUUUUGUAAAAUUAUUAUUGUGUUAAUAAAACUUGUUGAUCGAUAUACCUA